GUCGCUGGUCCCCGGCAACACGGCUCAGGCAAACGUAAGCGGCUUGUCGCAGAAACCAAGGGGUCCACGAAACGCGCUAGGCUAGAAGGCGGGAAGGAGAGAUUACUGACAGCCGUGCCAGCCAAUAAAAUAGAAAUCAACAGAGAGCUCAGAAAUUCCCAGACUGUUUUGAUGAUAAGGUCCAAGAACUUGCCAUGUGAUCUAUCACUACUAGACUCCCACAACUGCAUUAGAUUUGUUCAGGAUUUUCAUAUAAUUUUCAUAACUGGCUAAGUUCUGAAAUAACCCAUCUUGAAGACAUAAACAAUGUGCAUUGAUGGCUAGCCAGACUCUGUCCUGCCACGGUUCUCCUCCUACUCUUCAUUUCUUACCCCAAGGAGUAGUAAACAUGAAUCCUGACCCACCAAUGCAGUCCCAGAACUGAGAAAAGAUUCACUGCAGCUAAACAGAUUAUUUUUGCACCUUUGGAAAGCCACUGAAAAAGGAAGCCUGGAAAAAAUCCUGCCUAACAAAGCAGCAGUACUCAAAUAGCUUUAACUAUAAGAAAGAACUGAUUCAAGAUAUGAGAAGAGAUUUAAGAUAUAAGAUUAAAUAUAAGUGUAAAUGAUAUCCUCAUUUUUAUUGAAAUGCUGUGUAUUCCUAUUAUUUCAGUGAAAUGUUAAAUGGCAAAGGAUGCAUUUUUUAGAUUUUUUUUUCACUGAAUUUUAAACAGUCUUUGAAGCAGAUAUUUCAUAUAACAACAUCCAGAAAAAAUAACACAUAUGUGGAUAAAGUUGAGUGGUUGGAUAAUGUAUUGUGCAAAUUAUCAAGAAGAA
rnacentral:antisense_RNA from 1 species